AGAACUUCUUUCCCAUGAGGAAAUGAAACAGAACAAGAUUCCUCUUGCCUACAGAGAC
rnacentral:misc_RNA from 1 species